rnacentral:tRNA from 2 species
UCCUCUGUAGUUCAGUCGGUAGAACGGCGGACUGUCAAUCCGUAUGUCACUGGUUCGAGUCCAGUCAGAGGAGCCA